GACGAACGCUGGCGGCGUGCCUAAUACAUGCAAGUUGAGCGCUGAAGGUUGGUACUUGUACCUACUGGAUGAGCAGCGAACGGGUGAGUAACGCGUGGGGAAUCUGCCUUUGAGCGGGGGACAACAUUUGGAAACGAAUGCUAAUACCGCAUAAAAACUUUAAACACAUGUUUUAAGUUUGAAAGAUGCAAUUGCAUCACUCAAUGAUGAUCUCGCGUUGUCUUGGCUGGUUGGUGAGGUAAAGGCUCACCAAGGCAAUGAUGCAUAGCCGACCGGAGAGGGGGAGCGGCAACACGGGAACGGAGACAGGGCCAAAACGCAUAGGGGAGGCAGCAGGAGGGAAUCUUGAGAAAGGGGAGAAAGUCGGACGGAGAAAAGCCGCGAGAGUGAAGAAGGUAUUCGGAUCGAAAAACUCGGUGAGGAGGGAAGAACAAAGGUGGAAGGAAAAAUGAAAGAAGGGAAGGAAAAUAACCAGAAAGGCAAGGCUAAAUACGUG
rnacentral:rRNA from 1 species